CGAGGAGGCAUCUCUGUAAUUCCCUGUAAAUGACAACUAAUGAAGAUGCAACGUCAACGGUCAGAGAUGAGCGCUCUCCUUUUUGGCUGUAUCAAGCACAUGCUCAAUUAGUGUCGCAUGUGGAGAGGGGAAGACGGGACAAGAAGCGGGCAGCAGAGGUGGGGAUCGCACAGUGAGUGUGAGAGAGGCUCAGUUUCGUCUUAGACCAAGAGACUGACGUGCUACAAAUCCCACCAGCAGCACCACCAAACA